UACGAAGGGUGCAAGCGUUACUCGGAAUUACUGGGCGUAAAGCGUGCGUAGGUGGUUGUUUAAGUCUGUUGUGAAAGCCCUGGGCUCAACCUGGGAACUGCAGUGGAAACUGGACAACUAGAGUGUGGUAGAGGGUAGCGGAAUUCCCGGUGUAGCGGUGGAAUGCGUAGAGAUCGGGAAGAACAUCAGUGGCGAAGGCGGCCUGCUGGGCUGUUGCUGACGCUGAGGCGCGACAGCGUGGGGAGCAAACAGG
rnacentral:rRNA from 1 species